rnacentral:rRNA from 1 species
AUGAACACUAGAGUAAGGGGGCAAGGAUUCAUGCGGUAUGGUGCUGGAGUAGAGCCAACCAUCGAUGACAACGAAGAGCUUCAAGCCGUCCAGGCCAAAAUGGGUUCAGCUGAGGAUGAGUACACCCCACUGUCUCAGUUAGAAUAUGGAUUGGACAAAUGUAAAGUGCAGGUGCGCAUCUCACGGCUGUGGGAGUCCUUCAAUCCAAAAAAUAACACUUUAUUCGGCCUUGACUGCCUUCUGAUCGACGAUCAGGGUAAAACUAUGCAGGCGCGUGUAGAUCCCUACGAUAUAGAGUUGUUUGAACAUAGGCUAGUUGAAGGCAAGACUGUGGUCACUGAGAUAGAAGGAGAUAUUGAUUCAAUACCCCUCCACAGCUUUGAGUUUGUUAAUUUUAAGGAUCUCCGUUCUAGGUGUGGCAACAAUAGCUUAUUGACAGAUGUUCUGGGACACGUAGUAGAUGUUCGGGAGAUAGAGGGGGUCAAAAAAAGAUCCCGCCUUUUAGAAAUCUGUAAUGCAAGCAUUCGGGAUUUGAGAGGAAAGGUAGUGGGUGUCACACUGUAUCGAGAUAUUGCUUCUGGGUUUUUUGAGGAUAUGCUUGAGAAAGGCCAAGGUGCCUCAGUUGUUGCUGUCUUUACAGGGAUGGCUGUUGAUUCUUCAUCAUCAGAGUACUACCUUGAUUUGGAAAUACCAGAGGUGCAAGAAUUCCGUGCGAAUUUGCUCAUUCAGCAUGGAAACCCUGUUCCAGAAAAAACUCCAGCUCAGAAGUUGGCCGAGAGUUGGCGAACAAUCGAACAGCUAAAAAGCCUUGAUCCAGAAGAGUACGAUGAGGAUACCAUGUUUUUGUGCAGAGUCUCCCUGAUAGACAUAGAUUGCAGCAGUGGCUGGUGCUAUCUUGGAUGCGACACCUGCCAAAAGUCGAUGUACAAGCUGAAGGCAACGGUGCAGGAUGCCACGGGCACAAUGGACCUGAUGAUCUUCUGUGAGGUGGCGGAGGAGCUGGUUGGUGUCUCCGCGGAGGAGCUCGUCGAUAAGAUCAAGGACGAUGAUGAGUGGUACACCCUGCCGGACGAAAUCGAGGAUCUUCUUGGCUCGACGCACACCUUCGAGGUUUUCGACAAGUACGUGGAUGGGAGCUUCGCGGUGAGCUCGAUCAUGGACGAUGCCAGCGUCCCGGCCCCGCUGCUACUACUAGUCAACGCAAGGAGGAGAAGGCUGGGCCUGAGGGGAGCGCUGCCAUGGCAAGGGUGA